rnacentral:rRNA from 1 species
UAGGGAAUCUUCCGCAAUGGACGCAAGUCUGACGGAGCAACGCCGCGUGAGUGAAGAAGGAUUUCGGUUCGUAAAACUCUGUUGUUAGAGAAGAACAGCGCAUAGAGUAACUGUUAUGCGUGUGACGGUAUCUAACCAGAAAGCCACGGCUAACUACGUGCCAGCAGCUGCGGUAAUACGUAGGUGGCAAGCGUUGUCCGGAUUUAUUGGGCGUAAAGCGAGCGCAGGCGGUCAAUUAAGUCUGAUGUGAAAGCCCCCGGCUCAACCGGGGAGGGUCAUUGGAAACUGGUUGACUUGAGUGCAGAAGAGGAAAGUGGAAUUCCAUGUGUAGCGAUGAAAUGCGUAGAUAUAUGGAGGAAAACCAGUGGCGAAGGCGACUCUCUGGUCUGUAACUAACACAAAGGCUCGAAAGCGUGGGUAGCAAACAGG